rnacentral:tRNA from 1 species
GGUUGAGGCUCAGCGGUAGAGCACUUGCCUAGCAUGUUUGAGGCCCUGGGUUCGAUCCUCAGAACCA